GAUGAACGCUGGCGGCGUGCCUAACACAUGCAAGUCGAGCGGGAAACCUUUGAAUGAUCCUUCGGGGGAAUGAUAAGGCGGAGAGCGGCGGACGGGUGAGUAACGCGUAGGCAACCUGCCCUUUGCAGAGGGAUAGCCACUGGAAACGGUGAUUAAAACCUCAUAAAGCCGGAGGUUCACAUGAACUUUUGGUCAAAGAUUUAUCGGCAAAGGAUGGGCCUGCGUCUGAUUAGCUAGUUGGUGAGGUAACGGCUCACCAAGGCAACGAUCAGUAGCCGACCUGAGAGGGUAAUCGGCCACAUUGGAACUGAGACACGGUCCAA
rnacentral:rRNA from 1 species